GGAGGCUCAGUGGUACAGCAUCUGCUUUGCAUGCAGAGGGUUUCGGGUUUAAUCCACAACAUUUCCA